rnacentral:rRNA from 1 species
GUAGGGAAUAUUGCACAAUGGGCGAAAGCCUGAUGCAGCAACGCCGCGUGCGCGAUGAAGGCCUUCGGGUCGUAAAGCGCUUUUCGGGGAGAUGAGGAAGGACAGUAUCCCCAGAAUAAGGAUCGGCUAACUACGUGCCAGCAGCCGCGGUAAAACGUAGGAUCCGAGCGUUAUCCGAAUUCACUGGGCGUAAAGCGCGUGCAGGCGGUUGCGUAAGUUGGAUGUGAAAUCUCCUGGCUCAACUGGGAGAGGCCGUUCAAUACUGCGUGACUAGAGGACGGUAGAGGGAGGUGGAAUUCCGGGUGUAGUGGUGAAAUGCGUAGAUAUCCGGAGGAACACCAGAGGCGAAGGCGGCCUCCUGGGCCGUACCUGACGCUUAGAUGCGAAAGCCAGGGGAGCGAACGGGAUUAGAAACCCGUGUAGUCC